ACUUUCUUUUACGUGUUGCUCACUGCAAAGUAAAAAUUGCAGCUUUUCUUGUACUUAGGCCAGAUUAAUACUUUUCACCGUCUUUCGAUUUUGAUGACGUAUGAAUGACUCUGAAAAUUGCUGUUCUUGGGCAAUUUCUUUCAGUGUAUGUUAUUGUGAUGAGGUGCUUUUCAAAAUUGAUUUUCAAUUGAAAAUGCAUUCAAAUGAUUUUUUAUUUUUAUUUUUGAAAUCAUCACAUCAAAAUCAUUAGAAAUUACUUUCAAAAGCAUCAAUUUGAUGCUUUUGAGGUGAAAAUCAAUUUGAAAAGCAGAAGCAAACGCAAUACCAAAGCUUGAUUAGUUGAUAAUUAUCCAUGCUGUGUUCUGGUGUAAUUUUUUUCUUCCUGUGUGAGUGGUCGUGGAGUAAAGGUCUCAUUUUUAAAUUUGAAAUCUCGUCUUCUCGCUAUUUGUUUUUCUUUUUUCACAACUGGGAGCUGCUUAUUCUAUGAGUUUUCCUUUGUAAUUCGAGCAUAUUGUUCUUUCUUACUGCUUGUUAAUUUUGAUUGUACGCAAAUCAGUAAAAUUAUUGUAGCUUUUCUUGUAAUUUGGACAAUCACUCUUAUGUGUAUUACUUUUGAUUGAUUCGGGAUAUACGUGUCUCAUGCUUUGAUUGAUUCGGGAUAUACGUGUCGUUUUUUUAAUUGAAAUCUGGUUAGCUGGGAAUGACCUAUUCUGGGAGCUCUGUUGGAGGGCUUGAUGGGGGCUCUCAACAUUCAUUGGCCUAUAGGCAUUCAUCGAUUCUCGGCGGUCCUCAGGAGGCUGAUGUUGGUGGAUACAGAGAUUAUGCUUCAGCCACAUCACAUUAUGAGGACCAGUACAGAGCUGUUUAUGGCUCAACUUCCAUGAGUGGUGCUCAACAGUUUGGCUGCAAGUUUAGUCUGCUGCGUUGUAAAUCUACUCAAAAUAAAGAUAAUGGCUUGCAGUCUGAUAUGAAAGCUGAGAAGGACUGCAGUGAGGAUCAACCAAAGAAUACUUCAGAUACCAUCAGUCCUGUAGUUGCACAAGGUACUGGUAUCAAAACUACCAUAAAAAAGAAAAUAAUUAAGAAAGUAAUGAAAAGAAAGCUCAACGGUUCAGGAGCCAGUGGUGGGUGACCUUAAGAAAGAUGACAAAAGGGAUGAGGAAAAAGUUGCUCAGGCCGUGAAGGAUCUCGAGGAGGAUAAGAAGGAUGAAAAGGAAAUUGACCAGAAAAGCAGCUCAGGGACUAAAACUGAAGUUAAGGCUGACAAGCAAAAGGUUGCCCUGAAGGAUAAUGCUAAUAGUAAGGGAGGAAAGUUGAAGGAUUAUGAAAGAUUGAAGGAAGAAAACAAGGACAAAGGUGAAAAUGAUGAGUCCUGGAACAAAUCAAAUAAAGAAGUAAAGGAAAAGAGGAAGCCUGAACAACCUCCUAGACACCCUGGACUUAUUUUGAAAACAAAAGGCAACGAGGAAGGCAAAAUAGGUUUUGAUUAUUGCUUGGCACAUAUUUAUGUUACUAACUGCUACAUUAAAAGGCAUAAGCAACUUAUAUUAAUUGUCAGUGUUGUCCAAAAAAAAAAAAGACCAAUAAUAUGAAACACUUUGCCUUCACUUAAUAUUAUUGCCUAAUGAUACAUUCUGUGCCACAGCUGUGCUCUUUAUCACUUUCCCUGGACGCACUUUUGGAUUACACUGCUCUCACUGUUUGCUGAAUCACUAUAUGAGAUGCUUCAGUAUCAAAUGUGAUCUCGUCUUUUGACAUUUCUCCAGAAGCUACAAAUAAAAUUCGUAAGAAAAAGAAAUCGACGCAAGAGGCAGUGGGGCGGAAUGGAUGUGAAGGACGACAAGAAAUCAUUAGGAAGGCGCCUGAAGACUAGUGAGCUCUACCUCUGAAAGCUAAUCUGCUAACAGUGAACUGUCAAGUGCAGAUCAGCCGGAUGACGAAAAAACUGUCAUGGAGGAGGAUACUUUUGUUGAUCCUAUUAAUAAGCCAAAGCAGGAAGAAGAAAGUGAAGCUGAGGAAGACCCAGAGGAAGAUCCUGAAGAAUGUGAAGAAAUGGACGAUCCUGAAGAAUAUGAACAAAUGGAUGACCCUGGGCAUGACUCAUCUAACGAG